rnacentral:rRNA from 1 species
GACGAACGCUGGCGGCGUGCUUAACACAUGCAAGUCGAGCGGUAAGGCCCUUUCGGGGGUACACGAGCGGCGAACGGGUGAGUAACACGUGGGUGACCUGCCCUCAGCUCUGGGAUAAGCCCGGGAAACUGGGUCUAAUACUGGAUAUUACUCUGCGGUGCAUGCCGUGGGGUGGAAAGCCUUGUGCGGCUGGGGAUGGGCCCGCGGCCUAUCAGCUUGUUGGUGGGGUGAUGGCCACCAAGGCGACGACGGGUAGCCGGCCUGAGAGGGCGACCGGCCACACUGGGACUGAGACACGGCCCAGACUCCUACGGGAGGGCAGCAGUGGGGAAUCUUGCGCAAUGGGCGAAAGCCUGACGCAGCGACGCCGCGUGAGGGAUGACGGCCU